GAGACUGAUCCUCUGUGAUCAGGGUAGCCUUCCUGAUCACAGAGCUCAAACAUCUCAGAAUGUUUGUGGUAAUCCAGUCAUUUUGCUGGCCUGGUAAAUAAUAAAGGACACUGAUUUUAUCUUUGACCAUGAGGAAGUAAUACCUGGAUAUCUCUGUCCUGAUGCAUCUCAGUAAUCCAGCUGGAGAUGAUGUUGGCUACACAUGAUUAUUCCUGAACACGUUUCCAUUGAGGCAUUCCAGAUGGUUCGGGUCAACAAAGACUGCACCAACAGCAGUGAGUGUAAAGAAGGAGAGCUUGGUGGUUUUGUAAACAACAGAUGGAGCAACCCUGGUCACAUUACAAUCAAGAACUGUAUUUGUUGCCCAGUCAGUGAACUGUUGGCUGUUGGACUCCGUCCAUUUUAUUUGCCAAGGGAAAUCUCACAUAUUGUGGUGACUGUGUAUGUUCCUCCUUCUACCAUGAUGGCAAGUGAUGUCAUCCACAGAGCCGUAGCACGACUUCAAACGGAACAUCUGAGUGCCCUCAUCAUAUUUUCUGGGGACUUCAAUCAGGUUUACAUGGACAAAAUUUACUCCUAGGGGAAAUAAUCCUGGACCUGCUGUAUGCAUUAGGGAUGCAUGCGUGACAAAGACAAAGGAUCUGAGAAGGGUCAGGACACUGGUGACCCCUGUUUCCAUCCAUGGGGUCACUGUGGACAUUGUGGAUGCUUUUAAAUACCUAGGAAUGUUUUUACCUUAAACCAGACUGGACUAAGAACACUGAUGCCUUCUACAAGAAGGGCCAGAGCUGCCUCUGUUUUUUGAGGAGUUUAAGGUCAUUGAACAUCUGCUGGACUACGCUGCAGAUGUUUUAUAAGACUGUGGUGGCCAGUACCCUCCUAUUUUGCGGGUGUGUUUUGGGGUAACAGGUUAGCAGAAUUAUCCUCAAGGCCAGUGAUGUGAGGGUGGAGAUGGACUUGCACCAUGCAUCGCUGGACCUUUUACUGUAUUUUACAUUGUGUGAAUUCCUCUUUGUUAUCUGGCUGUGUUCCAGCAGCUUUUAAACAUGCUGUAGUGCAGCCAAUCAUCAAAAAGAAAAACCUGGACCCCAUUGUUCUUUCUAACUAUAGACCAAUAUCUAAAUUACCUUUCAUGUCUAAGAUUUUAGAAAGGGCUGUUUUUAUUCAACUUCAGUCCUUUUUAGAUUCUCAUGGUGUUAGUGAAGAGUUUCAAUCUGGUUUUAAAUCUCAUCAUAGUACUGAGAUGGCACUUAAGUGUUUUUAACGAUCUUCUUUUAACUGUUGAUUCAGGUAGCCCUGUUAUUUUAGUUCUUUUAGAUUUAACUGCUGCCUUUGAUAAAGUUGAUCACAGCAUCCUUCUGUCCAGACUUGAACAUGUUGGUCUUGAAGGCUCAGUUCUAACAUGGUUCAAGUCAUUUUUGCCUGACAGGUCUUUUUCCAUUUGAAUGGGGGGAUACUCGUCUUAAUCUACUACUAUUUGCUGUGGUGUACCACAUGGUUCUAUUUUAGGACCUAUUCUUUUUUUGUUUGUACAUGCUGCCAUUGGGAUCAAUUUUUUAAAAGCACAAAAUAUCUUUCCAUUUUUAUGCUGAUGACAGUCAAAUGUAUUAUCAUUUUGAUUCAAAUGUCUUUGCCCCUCUGCAGCCCCUUUAAAUUGUCUCAGGACAUCAAAGACUGGUUAUCCCAGAAUUGUCUGACUUUGAAUGAAGACAAAGCUGAAGUUAUUUUAUUUGGCUAUUAUCCUCCUCUUGAUGGUUUACCUGGUUUU